ACAUGGGAGGUUCGAGGACGCCGUAACUAGCGGUCCACAUUAGUCGGCGAGAUCCGUGGCAUAUGUAUUCCAUUCCUUAGAGGCUGUCGAGAUGGCACGUGUCAGUCCCGCACCUUCGCGCGGAUCUCCCGGGGUCGCGGUCGCGUGACCGACCACCGGGGCUAGCCAACCGCCACCGCCCUUCUUACCUGUUCACCAUCCAGAAUUACGCUGGAUGGACUGAACGAUGCGGUGAUCGGACCAGGAGGAUAGAAUAUUCCAUCUAUACCUAGUCUCUUUUGGGACCCAUGAUAUAAAACGGCAUUAAAAUCCGGGCACCGGCCAUGGAAUUCAAAGCCAAAGAAUUCAAUCCCUGCUUAAUAUUUAAAUCCGGCACACGUGAAUGCCACUGUACACUCAAAAUCUUGCCGUUGAAUCGAAAUUGGAUGAUGAUAGAGAGG
rnacentral:lncRNA from 1 species